CCCCGUGUUUUUAAGUCACAAUGCGAAGGCGAUCAAAAACUGACAUAAUGCUCGUGGUUCGAUGCAAAUCUCAAACGGUACGCCCUCCGUCCACACCGCGAGGUUUCCGAGUGAUGGUGAAUGGGCCUAUAGGGCCCAUUCCUUCACGUAAACCUUGCAACGUACUAACUUUUACGUAACAUGACGUUUCCGUUUAGUGAGGUGAAUUCAAUAGCCAAUCACAACAUGUGUAUGUGGUUGUAUGCAUGGAGUUGUUUAUUGUAUGGUGGGAAAUAGGAAAGAAACUUUUUGAGAGAACUUAUUAAAGGUGCUCUACGACAAAUUGCACUUUGGUUUUAAAAAUCCAGCAAUUGAAAGUGUUUCGUGGAUUCGAAUGCCGUUACAAUGAAUAAUACGUCGGGCUGUGUUUUUCUUGAAUUUCUGAAUUCGUUUGGUUUUUUGGAAUCUUAAAACUAAUUAACGAUUACACAAAUUUAUCUUCAUAUAUAUCCUGUUUCAAGUUCGUUAUACAAAUCUAUUGGGAUAAUAUUCAUCAUAAUAACGUUUACCCUCCGGUUUGUUGUAUAAACUUGUGGCAUCGAGUCAUAUUCCCAGAAGUUGAAUUCGGCAUAAUUGUGAAAUUAACGGAAGAAAGCUUUUAACAAUACCGUGAGGAGCUUCAUAUCCGACAAAGCUUAAUAUGAAAUAUACAAAUUUAUUUUAUCCGGAUCGUAUAAACAGUGUUAGUUGAUAUCGGUCGACUUGCCUCAAAAAAUUCAUCGCGAUCCUGAAGAAGUACUUCAAAGAAUAUAAUGAAAGUAAAAAUGGUUCUACUGAAACAAGUGUUUAUCACUCUUCAACUGUUGAAGUUUCGACGUCAUUUGCAAUCGUCUCAGAUAAUUUCAAUUUUAAUAUUUGCAGUAAUAGCAAUGUAAAAGAUAAUGGUAAUAUUUGAUGUUGCACAUGUGAAAAGUGUUGUCACGUUCACAGCUUUAAUUUUGCAUUCACAGGUAGUAGUAAUAUAAAAGCACUCUACUCAUUUAUGUUAUUAAUGUGGUAAGAAAUAAUAUUAAUAAUUAUAAUUGCCCGAAAUUGACCCGCGAUUUAUUGUAUAAUAUAAUGCACUGGUUGCGCUUGAAAUAUUCGAUUUUGUGCUGAAUGUUGAACAAGUCGGAAACGGGAAGCUCGGUGCGUCAGUAGUGGAUAUCCGUUGACAUCUCCUAAGGGGUACCAAUUUGACCCAAAAGAAGCAACUUUAACACCCAGCAGUAAUAGCCACAUUUUAUGUAAAAGAUUACCAUUAUCUUGAUGUUGCAGACGCGAAAACACAGAUUUAAUUUGAUAUUCACAGUUAGCAGCCAUAUUGUUGCGAGAAGAUUGGCGGACAUAACUAACUUCACUAAUUUGAUAAGUGCUCGACAGCGAUGGGCAAGAAGUGGUUGAAUAAGAUCAACGCUAGUUUCUUAUCUGUUUGACAUUAGUGGAUUAACAAAAUUCAUGAUACCACUUCUAACUUGGAAAAACAAAUAACUAUAAAAAGACUCUUCUCAUUAUUUAUUUUCUAGGCAAGUUACGGAUUUCAUAUAAUACUGCCACUAAGUGCCAAGCAUUUAGGCUCUGACCAUCCCACCUACUUCAAAGAUAAAGGAGCGCUGGUGGUGGUGGCCGGUGGUAGGUGAAUGGAAGAAUCCGUCGAGAACUCCCCGCAAUCUCGAGCAUGAAUGUGGAAUGGUAUAUUUUUGCAUAGUUCCAGGACAUUAGAGGAAGCCAUGAGGGAUUUUGAUACAAUACAUGCAUUAUGGCAUCUACAACCAACCGCUCGAGACGCCAAAUUUCUUUGAUUUCCAAACAAGUGCCUCAUAUUUCACCGUAUUCUCCACGUAUUUCCGUUCAAUGUUGCUGUUUUGGGGUAUAGCAAUAUCAAUAAUGUGCGUAGAACGACCCGCCUCUGAACUAACAGGACAUCGGGUUUGUUUUAACAAUACAUUCUGUAAACAGGACGAUUAGGUAGUGCCUGGGGCUCAUAUCAGUAAACCGGACAUGUUCCCGUGAUCAUUCCAUGUUUGUAUGCAAAGCUUUGGUUAAUCACUUUACAUGCAGCAUUGUGUAUUGCACCGCCGCCAUUAUAUUGCAACCAGAAAUAAGAUGGUCCAAAGUCUCCAGUGCCGAACCAUAUAUUCUGCAUUGGUCGUUCGCCACCCGUUUUUCAUAAACUCGGGUGGCGACCACGCCGACCCGAAUGGCACACAUAAAUCCCUUCGUCUCAGCAAAGAGCUCUCCAGCACACAGCCAUCUGUUCGACAAAUAUAAAUUGAUAAAUGGUUGCCAAAGACCAUUGACGUGUUUACCAUGCGUUGCCAUCGAAAUCAUUCAUCGAUCCGUUUUUGGUCUGAGUUCACCCCACUUAGGGAAUGGAAAGAUCGCUCCUUCAAGUAAGUCGGACAAACAAAUGAAAAAUAUCAUUGUAACAAAAAAUUUAAAUGAUAAAGACCAAAAUAUUAUAUUACCACGACAUAAUUUGAUUAAAUACGCAAAUUCUCAAAUAAAUAUAAAUAACCUUACUUUUAAGAACCAAAUAUACUACAUUGAAAAUAACGUCAUACUACCCAAUGUAAUUAGGAAUAUAAGCUGUGGGGAAUAUAGUAAUUUGACUUUGUAAUAUGUUGAUCAUAAACAUUUGGAAAACCUA
rnacentral:lncRNA from 1 species